CCCCGCCCUGGCCCCGCGCGUCCCCUCCCCCUGGGCCCCGAGGAGGGAGCGGCGCCGCCCGACCAGGUGUUAGACCCCGCCCCCUCGAUUACGUCAUUGAUCUACAAGAACAUGGACAGGUGGAAACGCGUCCGGCAGCGCUGGCGGGAGGCGGCGCAGCGGCAGCAGCAGCGCUACGGGCCCAGCCUGCGCCUGCUGCGAAUCAUCUACGAGCGGCAGUGAGGCCACGCCCACCCGGGACACGCCCACCCCGACCACGCCCACCUCCUCAUCGGCCACGCCCACUUCAACCACACCCGAGACCCCGCCCACGCCGGCCACGCCCACGCCGGCCCCGCCCCCUGCCAAUAAAAACGCCGCU